GUCUAUGGUCCUGCUUCCUGAACAAGCCCGAUCCCAUCUGAUCUUGGAAGCUAAGAAGGGUCGGGCCUGGUUAGUACAUGAAUGGGAGACCACCUAGGAAAACCAAGUGCUAUAGGCA
rnacentral:rRNA from 1 species